rnacentral:rRNA from 1 species
AGAGUUUGAUCCUGGCUCAGGAUGAACGCUGGCGGCGUGCUUAACACAUGCAAGUCGAACGGACCUUACUUAUUAGAUCUUUUCGGAGUGACGAUUUGUAAAGUUAGUGGCGGACGGGUGAGUAACGCGUGGGUAACCUGCCCAUUACUGGGGGACAACAGUUAGAAAUGACUGCUAAUACCGCAUAAGCGCACAGGACCGCAUGGUCUAGUGUGAAAAACUGAGGUGGUAAUGGAUGGACCCGCGUCUGAUUAGCUAGUUGGUGAGGUAACGGCCCACCAAGGCGACGAUCAGUAGCCGGCCUGAGAGGGUGAACGGCCACAUUGGGACUGAGACACGGCCCAAACUCCUACGGGAGGCAGCAGUGGGGAAUAUUGGACAAUGGGGGAAACCCUGAUCCAGCGACGCCGCGUGAGUGAAGAAGUAUUUCGGUAUGUAAAGCUCUAUCAGCAAGGAAGAAAAUGACGGUACUUGACUAAGAAGCUCCGGCUAAAUACGUGCCAGCAGCCGCGGUAAUACGUAUGGAGCAAGCGUUAUCCGGAUUUACUGGGUGUAAAGGGAGCGUAGACGGCAAAGCAAGUCUGAAGUGAAAUCCCGGGGCUCAACCCCGGAACUGCUUUUGGAAACUGUUUAGCUAGAGUGCAGGAGAGGCAGGCGGAAUUCCUAGUGUAGCGGUGAAAUGCGUAGAUAUUAGGAGGAACACCAGUGGGCGAAAGCGGCCUGCUGGACAUUAACUGACGCUGAGGCGCGAAAGUGUGGGGAGCAAACAGAAUUAGAUACCCUGGUAGUCCACACCGUAAACG